AAGAAAACUGGAGGGAGCCGAUAGUAAGAGGGGCUUGGGGAGCAAAAACAGGAAAAAGGGCGAAAAGCCGAGAGGGGUUUUAGGGCUGGAAGAAAGGAGGAGAUUAACGGCUGGGGGGACUGGAAAAGGGGACGGCUGAGAGAAAUUAAAAAGGAGGGGAGAUUGGUGAAGAAAAGACAGAGGGUAAGGAAAAGAAACAGAAGAGGGGCGGCAGACAGAUAGAGCUAAAAAAACUGACUAAGGGAAGGCUAAAGGAAGAGACAGAGGGGCUUGGUGGAAGAAAAAGAAGAACAGGGGCGGAGCAGAGAGCUAACGCGAGAGAGAAAAACAACAACGGAGGAAAAAGGCAGAGGAAAAAGGAAAAAGCAGGGGUGGUGGGCAAGGAAAAACUAUCGAACAAAAAGAGAAAAAGAAGGAAAGGAGGGCUUCGGAGACUAUGGAGAAAGAGAGAAAGCUAAAGGAAGGAAGAAAGAGGGCUUCGGCUACGGGGAAGGGUUGAACGGAUAUGGAAAAAACCUAAAAAUGGGGAGGAAAUUUCAGUUUGAACGAUCGAAAAGGAGAGAAAUUUCCAAUCACCACCGCCGCAAUCCAAGCUCUGCCACGGCAUCUCCACCUCGUGCGCCACUUAGCUGACUGACGCACCUCCCAUUCCCGCGCGGCCCUUCUCCGCCCCAGAUCUCCUCUCUUCCUCACGCCGCCCGCCCAAGCCACCAUCAGUCCGCAUUCGCUGCUGUUGCUGUCUGCCAUCGUCACCACCAUACACAACCUCCUUGGCCGCUGCCGCUCUCUGCAAAUCUAGAUGAAAGCUCUCAAACGAAGUCAGACUUCGUCAUCUUCCAAUUCCAGAAUGAAAGAGUCAAGAAGAAAGGGACGCCAUUCUGGAUACGAUACAGGAAUUUGAGGGAAGGCCUCUGCUUUUGUAACUCCCAGUACUUUAACUCGCCAGCAAAGAGGAAAACAAUAACUUUUUGCACAGAAAGGAGAUGGGAGAAAUUUUUUUUUUUUACACAAAAGAUAGGAGAGAGAUGGCUCUGAGGUCUUUCUGUCAAUUUUUCUCAUAAAAAAUCUGAGGUAAGAUGACUCCAAAACACCUCUCCAAAAAUAGUUGGAUGUGUCAAAGAAGUGAUUGUAUUCUCAAAUUCUAGGAAGAAUUGUAUGCCAUUUAUCUCAAAGUAGAGGCAUCUUGUCCUCAUAUUUGAACA